CUCAAAUUUGAAAUCUGGUACCUUUGGUGCCCGAGUUGUAAUUUGGAGAGGGCAACUUUGGGACCGUUCCUUGUCUAUGUUCCUUGGAACAGGACGUCAUAGAGGGUGAGAAUCCCGUGUGGCGAGGAGUGCGGUUCUAUGUAAAGUGCCUUCGAAGAGUCGAGUUGUUUGGGAAUGCAGCUCUAAGUGGGUGGUAAAUUCCAUCUAAAGCUAAAUAUUGGCGAGAGACCGAUAGCGAACAAGUACAGUGAUGGAAAGAUGAAAAGAACUUUGAAAAGAGAGUGAAAAAGUACGUGAAAUUGUUGAAAGGGAAGGGCAUUUGAUCAGACAUGGUGUUUUGCGCCCUCUGCUCCUUGUGGGUGGGGGAAUCUCGCAGUUCACUGGGCCAGCAUCAGUUUUGGUGGCAGGAUAAAUCCGUAGGAAUGUAACUUGCUUCGGGAAGUAUUAUAGCCUAUGGGAAUACUGCCAGCUGGGACUGAGGACUGCGACGUAA
rnacentral:rRNA from 1 species